rnacentral:rRNA from 1 species
GACGUAGGGCGCGAGCGUUGUCCGGAUUUAUUGGGCGUAAAGAGCUCGUAGGCGGUGUGUCGCGUCGGCCGUGAAAACCUGCAGCUUAACUGUGGGCUUGCGGUCGAUACGGGCAUCACUGGAGUUCGGCAGGGGAGACUGGAAUUCCUGGUGUGGCGGUGAAAUGCGCAGAUAUCAGGAGGAACACCGGUGGCGAAGGCGGUUCUCUGGGCAUGUCCUGACGCUGAGGAGCGAAAGUGUGGGGAGCGAACAGG